GAGGCAUGUCGGAAGUAUCUGCACCACAAAGAAGAUCUUAGAACUAGAGAUUUUAAGAGCAAGGUACUGUGAAAUUUCAUUGCAUUUGAUGUAUGUUAAUUAUUUCCUGAAUUCAAACUCAAGUACUAAACAUUAUUGUAUACAAAUACAAGUGAUGAUCUGUGAAGGAUUUGUAAAGGCGUGCUACCAUUUUGUUUAGCACAAUGUAACAAUUAACUUGUCUGUCACAUAGAUAAAUGAUCCACCAACGUGGAAGUACAACACAACAGGAUGCCUUGUUCGGUUAUGCAGUCAGUCACAGAACACACUGCUCACUUAUUAUCACUACUCUCAUCUUUCAACUAGAACAGUCUCUCUGCUUAGUGUAAUUCUAUUAUGAGAUUCAAAAGCUAUGAAAGAGAAAAGAAAAAGAAUUGACAGUGUUAGUCUUGUUGUUGAAACCAAAAGAAAUUGGCAAAUGGAGCAACCUUUCAAUUUGGUAAGCUAGACCAUGCCACACAUAAGGGAACUAUA
rnacentral:misc_RNA from 1 species